UACGUAGGGUGCAAGCGUUAUCCGGAAUUAUUGGGCGUAAAGAGCUCGUAGGCGGUUUGUCGCGUCUGCUGUGAAAACUGGAGGCUCAACCUCCAGCCUGCAGUGGGUACGGGCAGACUAGAGUGCGGUAGGGGAGAUUGGAAUUCCUGGUGUAGCGGUGGAAUGCGCAGGAUAGUCAGGAGGAACACCGGAUGGACGAAGGCAGAUCUCUGGGACCGUAACUGGACGCUGAGGAGACGAAAGCGUGGGGAGCGAACAGG
rnacentral:rRNA from 1 species